CGCCUCCUGCAACAAAUUAAGUAUAAGAGGUCCAGCCUGCCCAGUGACAAUAUGGUUCAACGGCCGCGGUAUUUUGACCGUGCAAAGGUAGCGCAAUCACUUGUCUUUUAAAUAAAGACCUGUAUGAAAGGCUAAACGAGGGCUUAACUGUCUCCCAUUUUCAGUCAGUGAAAUUGAUCUAUCCGUGCAGAAGCGGGUAUAAAUAUACAAGACGAGAAGACCCUAUGGAGCUUAAGGCACAAGACUCAACCACACCAAGCAACUCAAUUAAAAUUUUAAACCUUGUGAUAAAUGAGACCAUGCCUUCGGUUGGGGCGACCAUGGAGGAAAAAAAAGCCUCCAAGUGGAAUGGGGCCAACCCCCCUAAAACCAAGAAAAACAUUUCUAAGCCACAGAACAUCUGACCAUAAUUGAUCCGGUUAUAUAACCGAUCAACGAACCAAGUUACCCAAGGGAUAACAGCGCAAUCCUCUCCAAGAGCCCAUAUCGACGAGAGGGUUUACGACCUCGAUGUUGGAUCAGGACAUCCUAAUGGUGCAGCCGCUAUUAAGGGUUCGUUUGUUCAACGAUUAAAGUCCUACGUGAUCUGAGUU
rnacentral:rRNA from 1 species